UACAGAGGUCCCGAGCGUUGUUCGGAUUUAUUGGGCGUAAAGGGUGCGUAGGUGGCAAAGUAAGUUGGAUGUGAAAUCCUGGGGCUUAACCUCAGAAUUGCAUUCAAUACUGCUUAGCUAGAGAGCUGUAGAGGAGACUGGAAUUUACGGUGUAGCAGUGAAAUGCGUAGAUAUCGUAAGGAAGACCAGUGGCGAAGGCGGGUCUCUGGACAGUUCCUGACGCUGAGGCACGAAGGUCAGGGGAGCAAACGGG
rnacentral:rRNA from 1 species